GUGAGGAAUAUUGCGCAAUGGAGGCAACUCUGACGCAGCCAUGCCGCGUGCAGGAAGAAGGCGCUACGCGUUGUAAACUGCUUUUAACCGGGAAGAAACCCCAGGACGUGUUCUGGGUUGACGGUACCGGAGGAAUAAGCACCGGCUAACUUCGUGCCAGCAGCCGCGGUAAUACGAAGGGUGCAAGCGUUAUCCGGAUUCAUUGGGUUUAAAGGGUGCGUAGGCGGAGCGUUAAGUCAGUGGUGAAAUCCUGCAGCUUAACUGUAGACUUGCCAUUGAUACUGGCGCUCUUGAGUGCGCUUGAAGUGGGCGGAAUGUGCCGUGUAGCGGUGAAAUGCUUAGAUAUGGCACAGAACACCAAUUGCGAAGGCAGCUCACUAAGGCGAUACUGACGCUGAGGCACGAAAGCGUGGGGAUCGAACAGGAUUAGAUACCCGGGUAGUCC
rnacentral:rRNA from 1 species